rnacentral:rRNA from 1 species
AAUUUGUGAAUUUUUGGUAGUGCACCCUUUACAUUUGUUGCAACAAAUGGCCUUAUGAGGCUGCAUAUAAAUAUGAAAGGGAAAUCAUUUGGGCACGGCUUUGUGCCAAGGAAGCAUGAGCAAUGGGGUAUUAACAAUUGUUAUAAAGCAUUUGUUUUGUGAGUUGUUAUUUGCUCCUUAAAAAUUGUAUGACUCUUGGCAAUGGAUAUCUUGGCUCUCGCAUCGAUGAAGAGCGCAGCGAAAUGCGAUACGUGGUGCGAAUUGCAGAAUCCCGUGAACCAUCGAGUUUUUGAACGCAAGUUGCGCCUGAGGCCAACUGGUUAAGGGCACAUUUGCUUGGGCGUCAAACAUUGCAUUGCUCCCACCUAAAAUUACCGUUAAUAAAUUUAAUGGAUAAUUUUGGAUGCGUUGAAUGACCCGUCUUUGUGCUGAUGUUAGGCGGGUUGAAGUGUAUGUUUUUUGGGUAAUGAUCGAUAAAUGGGUGGGAUUGAAGCUCCAGUUGACCCUCAUCAUUGCAUGGUUGCCUUGAGAAAGCUGUGUUAGCAUGUAGACCUUACUCAAAUGUUGGAAACACAUUGAACUGUGACCUCAGGAUAGGUGGGGUGACCCGCUGAAUUUAAGCAUAUUAAUAC